UUUGAUGGACUUACUCAAUUAGCGUUCUUUUGUUUUGCUAGUUAUUAUCGUACUAUAAAUAAUGUAUUUAUAUUUAAGUAAUGAAUAUUGUUGAAUGUAACAAAUUAUUUACAGGAUCAUAACACAAAUUGUGGAGAUCGUAUGUCGUGAAGUAUUGGUCUUUACGAUCUUCUACUCUAGAAUGUGACUGGCAGAAGAAAACGUAAACGUGCAGUUUUCCAUUAGAAAUACAGAACAUAGUAAAGCGAGAAUUUUUAACGACAUGGCAAUGUCUUGAGUGCACAAAGGGUUAAUAAAAUUAGAAUGGAGCAUGAAAACUUGGGAUACCAUGUGUUACGAAACAUUGUUUUUUUUUCACAUUUCAAAGUAGCAGAUCCUGUACUUCUAAGGAAAGCGUGAAGCUGCCUUUUGUGCAUUGGAAACGGAGACAAUGUGUUACUGUUAAAGAAAGGAUUUAUGACUUGAAUUGCGAGUCUUUAAUAAGUAAAGAAAUUCAGAACUGCUACUGUAACCUGACGCUCACAAUACUCUGCAGUGAAGUGGGUUGCCUAUAUCAAGGACGAGCAGUUGCCAGAAAUAUUUCAAAUUCAAACUAUCAUGGUAUCAAUGUUACAGUGCGAGUCGAAACUUAUUGGUUAACAAUUGAGAGAGAUUGGAACUGGCACCCUUUGCUCACUAAAAAGAUAAGUUAUCCCCUUUGGUGUUUUAGCUGUUAACUUUUUAUCUUGGAGAUUCUUGUAGUUAAUUAAGGAACAUUAGAAGAACUCUGGAUACCGUUAAUUUAUGGAAUUAUGGAACAUUGGUUGUAUUAGUCCUCAUUUGCCCCAGACAGUAGCUAUACUCAUGGUCCUAAAGAAUUCAUGAAAGUGCCUUUUUCCUGGAGUUUGUUCUUGAUUUGCUGUUUUCGUCUCCACCUUGCAACAUUAUGCAGUUAAUUCUCAACAGAUGAGAGAGCAACUAGAGAUGAUGUAUUGAAACGACAAAUUUGCUGCUAUGGUAUUCCUCUUGGAUUUGAUUUGCUUUCCACACCUGCAAACUUUGGAACGUCACAAUUUACAGUUAAUUAAGAUUUUCUAUCAAGUGAAAAAGAAUUAAACAUCAGUUUGGUCAUGCUGAAACAACUGAUGUCUACAUGGGUAGCGUUUUCCUGGACUUUAUUGUUGAUUUGCUGUUUUUGUCUUCACCUUCCAACAUUAUGCAGUUCUCAAUGGAGGAGUGAGAGCAACUUGAGAUUUAUUUGAACUCUACUAAAACGAUAAAUUUUCUGCUUUGGUAUUCGUCCUGAAUUUGAUUCUGCAGUUAAUUAAGAUUUUCCAACAAGUGAAAGAGAGUUAAAGAUCUGUUUGGUCAUUCUGAAAUAACCGAUGUAUACACGUGGGUGGCGUUUUCCUGGACUUCAUUGUUAAUUUGCUGUUUUCGUCUUCACCUUCCAGCAUUAUGCAGUUAAUUCUCAACGGAGCAGUGAGAGGAACAGGAGAUUUAUUAGAACUCUACAGAAAUGGCAAAUUUGCUGCUAUGAUAUUCCUCUUGGAUUUGAUUUGCUUUUCACACCUGCCAACAUUGGAAUGUUACAAUUUACAGUUAAUUAAGUUGUUAACCUUUCAUCUUGGAGGCUCUUGUAGUUAAUUAAGGAACAUUAGAAGAACUCCGGAUACCAUUAAAUUAUGAAAUUAUGGAGCAUUGGUUGUAUUAGUCCUCAUUUGUCCUGCAAAGUAGCUGUGCCCAUGGUUCUAAAGAAAGCAUGAAAGUGCCUUUUUUUAUUGGGAACGAAGACAGUAUGCUGAAAAAGGAUUUGUGACAAGGAACUGAAAUGGCAGAAGGAGAGUCAAUAUGGAACAGAUCUUUCCAUUAGUGUGCAUGUUACUGAUUUAUUCGAUUUAAAAAUGGUAAAUAAUUACUUUUUCUUGCCUGUUUCUAUAUAGAUUGUUGUCCCACAAAUGAAAAGGAAUUGCAGCUAAUUUUGGUGCUACUAAAACAACUGAUGCUUUUGACGUCUUCACCUUGCAACAUUAUGCAGUUAAUUUUUGCAGUAACAAAGGGAGGCAAUUGGAAAUUAAUUAAUUUGGAUGCAACUGGAACAAAUUAUCUGCAGUGGUAUCCCUCCUAGAUUUGGUUGGUUUGCUCAUCACACUGAUAGACUUUAGAACGCCACUUUCUACAAUUAAUUAAGGUUAUACAAUAA